GGGUGCAGCUCAGUGGUACAGCAUUUGCCUAACAUGCACAAGGCCCUGGGUUCAAUCCCCAGACAUCCA
rnacentral:tRNA from 1 species